GUGGGAGCGGGUCUGGGCCGCCUGGGGGACCUCGGAGUCGGUGCGUUAUGCAUACAGCGACAAAUAGAUCGUAACUUCGUGGCGGCGAGGGCUCAUCGCCGGCUCCGAAGGCCUCGCAGCGGCCUGGCCCCACGCCGGGGGGCCGUGCUGGGGUCGUAGGGGAACUGGAGCGGACGGACGGACGGACGGACGGACGGCAGCUUCGGGCCGCUGUGCGGGAGCGGCGUCCUCCGCCCCUCCGCCUCUGUGCCGCGCAGGCGCUCCUGACCGCGCUGUCCCGGUGCCGCUCCGCGAGCUUUGGCGUCGCUCCGUACCGCCGCACUCCGACGGGGACCCGGCGCCGAAGGGCCGGUGCUGCUGCCGCCGAACUCCGCGUGUUCGGCCCCGAAGGCGCCAUCCGAAUGCGGAAAUAUGGCCCACGUGCAGCAUCUGCAGCCCUCAGCUCGCCGGGGCGAUGUACCCACAUUUCAUCAGGCAGCAGCGGACGAGCCUGGAUGUUCUCAGAAACCGCAAACACGUCGAGACACCAGGACCUGGAGCAUAUGAUGUAGACCGGGGCUAUCGAGCUUGCUUACCCAGCUCCCCCAGCAUCACCAUCCAAGGAGUCAGGAGGCCCAAGAGACACGAAACCGGCCCCUUUACAACGUUCUGAGAUGGACUACAGAAUUCCACUCCUAACCACAGGGCUUGCUCCUCAUUUCAGUAGUAAAAAGAAAAAUGCACAGAAGUUCA
ensembl:lncRNA